rnacentral:lncRNA from 1 species
CUGCUCCCUGCCCCGGCGUCCUGGAGCCCAGCCGACCACGAGGGUUUUUCUCCGUGUUGUAUCUUCCCGAAAACCCAGAACCCAAACCCAAGAAAGAACCACUCCUGUUGUCCUCUCUCCCCUCCUCCAGUCCCAAUGACAUUUCCCGGCUUUUGUGUGAGAUGACCCAAAAGCAAGCCCUUCUCCACUCCUCCUCCAUGCAAUGGGGUCCCUAAAAGCUACCCUCACUCCCCUUCUCUCUUACUCACCUGGAGGAAGGGGAAUGGAGAGGAUGGACACCAGAGCCUCCUAUUUCCCAGCAUUUCCACACAGGGAAGACAAGCAUCUCACCGUGCGCACUCCGACAGGAGGGCAGGAGGCGGAAAGGUGGAAUAGCCCAGAAGAGCAGGCUGCUGCCCAGGCCCCUAGGCCACAUCCGAAGGACGUUAAGUCUAGAGCCCCAGGAAGGAAGGCGUCCUGGGUCAGUUUCAUUUCACAUAAACGGACUGUCCCUGGAUCCAGGGAAGCGGAUUCUCCCGUUUCCUCCCUGGUGCCUCAGUCUUUUUGGAGGCGCCCUCUGCUGGCCACUGGGAAGUGCAGGAAAGAACAGAGUCCUGCAGACUCAAAGAGCGUCUACAGAAAGGGACAAGAGGUAGAGACAACCGGGAGCCAACUGAGAGCGGUGGCUGGACUGCCACAAAUAAGAGAGGCAUGCUGAAGCCUUCUUGGAGGCCCCGUUCCAGACCCAGCCAGGGUGAAGAGGACUCCCAGGGGCGGAGAUCGAGGCCCAGGAGAGAACAGAGAGCAUCCUGCUUUAAUUGGAGAGCAUGAAGAGGUGGGCAAGGAUGUUCUGGAACACUGACCAUAGUCCAUCCUGAAUGGAAUUGGACUGACUCGACCCUCUCAUCUCCUGGAGCAGCUGGGUCUAAAGUGUGUGUGCACGGGUACAGACGUACAGGAGGAAAAUAUUAGGACGUCGGGCCUGGGAGUGGCCGACACAGAGUCAGCCACAGUGUUUUGGGAUGGACAGAACAAAUAGAACACAAGUCUACUGGACGCUGUGCUGACACAGAUAUGGGACUCAAGUUGUCUGUAAACAUUCCUGUGACUUGGCCUGCUGCAGAAAUAAAAGCACUAGCCUGGAGUUCUGACACACCCGGAUAUAAAUGCUGGCUCCACCACCGGCUGUGUGAACUUGGACCCACACUGUGCCUUUCUGGGCCUCACUGUUCUCAUCUGGAAAAUGGAGCUAAGAAGAAGAGGCCCUCCGGGUUGUUGGGAGAAGUCAGUGAGUUAACACAGGUGGAAACGCCCUGAGCAUGGCACCUGACACACAGGGAGGGCUCAGCAAAGGCUGGUCUCUUUCCUCCCUCUCCUUUACCCACAUAGGCCCUUGACCUCUAUCCCUGCCAGACUCCCCCUGGACAAACACCCUCCCAGAGGUUGGACGCACACAGCAACUCUUGUCCAGGUUCCUUGAUGGACCCUGCCCAUGGGACGUUUGCAAAUUCCAAAGAGAAAACUAGUUAAUCUGUAGAAAGCCUAAACGGUAUAGAGAAGUGAAGAAUUUCUGGAUUCAUCCAAGAAACAUUUGGGAUGGGGGAGCACUCCCUUUCCCCUCCAAUCAUACCACUUAGGCAGCUACCUGCUUCCACAUCGUUUUCCUACACACACACACACACACACACACACACACACACCUCCCUACACCAACAAUUCCCAAGAGCUGAUCCCUGACCAUGUUCUCACCUGUCUACAGCUCAAAAUGUUAGUAUAAGAGUGCCUAUCAACCUUUCUAGGGAAAGACUAGUUUUUAUUUCUACUUUUCUUUGGGGGGUAUUAAAAUGUUCUUUUUGUUAGGAUGUAGUAAUGGGAAAUUAAUCUUUUUAAAUUAUCCUAUGUCCUUACUUGACAAAAUAAGAUGCCAGCAAUUCUUACAUCAGUUCCCA